GUCUUUCCAUCCUUCUGCUGCUCUCUAAAUGCUGUGCUCACAGUGGGAUUAUUGCACGAGGUCGUGCAGCUAUUGUGGUUAGCCCUGUUCAGCAGUGACUGCAGUCCAGGGCUCAGCCAGCUUCUGGUGACAGGCUUACUCCAAUUCUAUACUGUCACCUAAAUGAAUCACCUUCAGGAAGGAAAGGGUAUUUCAAUUCACUUAUACUGGUCAUUGGCAUUUCUGCGUAAAACCUUCCACAAAGUUUAACAGUAAUUGUUUCAUCUACUGAAAUCAGUGUGAAACCAGAAGUUCAUAUCACUACCAAUUCUCUAUCAAAGCCCCCACAUUUAAUUUGCCAUCAACGAGCUUGGAUGUGCAUCUACAAUUUUUGCACCCACCAAAGAUGUGAGAGAUGACGAUUGAAAUAGUAAACACAAAAACUACUGGAAUCAGAGUGAGCCAAAUGAUCUUUGUCAUACACAUUGGAUCUGUCCAUAAAACGUACAAGAGAGAAAAUUAAGCAACAAAUCACCGGCAGCAGAGAAAAGCAGAACAUUCCUUCUUGAGCAUGGAAGGGAGUGGUCCACUGUCCAACAUUGGCCUCUUCUGGCAUUCUUAACCUCAUGAUCUAUCUUCAUAUAUGAGAGAAGGCAAGAUUCUACAUACAGAAAUUUUCUUAUAAAAAAGUGAGGAAAUGCCACCAACAGGAGCCCUCUGGAGAAUUAAUUUAAAGUUGCCUUGAGGGAAAAUCACAUGGGACUGAAUACAGGAGGUAAGCUGCCCUUUUGGACAACAGCUGCUGCAGAAUUGCACCCACAUUCCACAGGGAUUUAGUUCAAUAACUAGUACAAGUCAGGACUGUAUACAACAAAGGAAUGAUGUGGUGAACUUUCCCCUCUGGUUGUUUGAAUGGCCUUCCAAAUUUCUUUGGCAGUUGCAUGUUAAUGCAUACCUUAGCACUGUCAACUAACUGUUUUAAAAACCAGCUAUGUUACCAUAAAUCAU